AUGGAGGGAUACUUCCUCGCCUGCUCCUUCCAGCCACCCGUUGUCACUCGUGCCAGCGCCCGCUAGGCCCCCCGGGUUCUCCUCGACAAGAAGGCCUACUUCGCCGUCCGCGAGAACGCCACAACCGUCGAAGCCGUUACCAGCACCGGCAACGCCUUCAAGGUCACCUUCUGCCUGGCCGACCCGCCGGCCAUCUCCCACUUCUGCGUCCACGGCCCCGAGUUCCAGCGCGACGACUUAGCGACUGAGCCCCUGGUCGUCUCCUCGGUCAAGGACUUCGUGCUCCUCUGUUUCAGUUCCCGGAGAAGCGGUCCGGGAUCUCGCCUCCUGGAGUACUUCGUCUACAAGGCCAACCACGGCAAGCCGUCACUCACACUGAUCCCACGUGCUCCUCCGGGCACCACAAACUUGUUCCAUGUGUGCGUCUUGCCAAUCGACGAUGAUGUUGGGGGAUUUGUCCUGGCAGAUCUCUCCAUGACAGUGCCCCCAUCAGACUACGAGCUCCACGUCUUCUCUUUCAGGACAGGCAAGUGGGCCACUACGACGUUGCGGUUGCAAACACAUAGCGCAUAUCCCGGGGUGAGGAAAGAAGACCUGCCGGGCCAUAUUUUUGACAAGGCGGUCGCGCUAGGAGGAGGUGCUGUCGGCUGGAUCGACCUCUGGCUUGGCAUUGUCACCUGCAAUGUCUUUGACAAGAACCCGGCUCUAAGUUUCAUCCCGAUACCCAUGCUUGCAUACUCUAACGAGCAACGGGGCGACCCGAAGCCGGUCCGGGAUGUCGCCUGCUUCAACGGUGUCAUCAAGCUUGUCGAGAUUGACCAUUUCUUCAGGCGGGAGCUCGUCACUAUUAACCACAGCAAGAGGUUCAAGGUGACAAGGGAUCUUGAUAGCGUCGAUAUGAUACACCACUCGGAGAUCCUCCUCUGUGCGCACGAGGACUUCCUCGGUACUUCGACUGACAAAAUCAUUUAUAUUCCUGAUGGCUGGAAGAUCCGGACAUGUUACAUGCAUAUUUUUUCGGACGUCUGGUGCAAGGGACAAGUUGUUCAUGUUGAUGACAUCUUGCUUAAUGACCCGAGGAAUUACAUGAUGUUGCCUCAGUUGUGGGAUGGUAGCGCUAGAAAAUUCACAUCGAGGAUCCUGACAACAGCUUACCCGACCCUCACUAUUCAUGGUGGUGAUGUUAUCUACCUCACGUCUAAGGUGGACUACUUUGAUAAGAAUAGCUUGGUAGUUGGUGUUGACCUUGGAAAGAAGACCGUGGAAAUACUGAAACCAUAUUCCGCGGAGAGAGCGUAUCAUUUCAAACCGGCAUUUUUCCCAUGCGCAUUCUCCGAAUAUCUCAAUACCACUCCAAGGCAAGCCUAUUUAUUACUUCUUUUGCUAAUUUUGAUUUCUUCGAACACGAAUACUCCAUAUUGUCCUCCAGUUACUUUACAUGAUGACAUCUAG
rnacentral:rRNA from 1 species